ACGGGGGUGCAGCAGGCGCGAAAAUUCCACAAUGCACGCAAGUGUGAUGGAGGGAUUCAGAGUGUAUCUUUCAUUUUGGAAGGUGCUUUUGUUGAUUCUAAAUAGCUCAACGAAUAAGCGGUGGGUAAGACAGGUGCCAGCCGCCGCGGUAAUACCUGCGCCGCGAGUGGUGACCUCGAUUAUUGGGUUUAAAGUGUCCGUAGCCGGUUUGGUAAGUUCUUAAUGAAAUUCCAUGGACAACUAUGGAGCUUGUUGAGGAUACUACCAGACUAGAGACCGGGAGAUGUCAAGGGUAUUUCUGGGGUAGGGGUUAAAUCCUGUAAUCCUAGGAGGACCGCCUGUGGCGAAGGCGCUUGACUAGAACGGAUCUGACGGUGAGGGACGAAAGCUAGGGGAGCGAAGCGGAUUAGAUACCCGCGUAGUCCUAGCUGUAAACGAUAUCCACUAGAUGUUGGAUGUCUCACGAGGGCAUCCAGUUUCGUAGGAAACCGUUAAGUGGAUCGCCUGGGAGUACGUUCGCAAGG
rnacentral:rRNA from 1 species